rnacentral:rRNA from 1 species
UACGUAGGGGGCAAGCGUUGUCCGGAAUCAUUGGGCGUAAAGAGCGUGUAGGCGGUUCGGUAAGUCGGCUGUGAAAGUCCAGGGCUCAACCCUGGGAUGCCGGUCGAUACUGCCGGACUAGAGUUCGGAAGAGGAGAGUGGAAUUCCCGGUGUAGCGGUGAAAUGCGCAGAUAUCGGGAGGAACACCUAUGGCGAAGGCAGCUCGCUGGGACGUUACUGACGCUGAUGCGCGAAAGCCAGGGGAGCGAACGGG